UGGUUAAGUGGGAAACGAUGUGGGAAGGCCCAGACAGCCAGGAUGUUGGCUUAGAAGCAGCCAUCAUUUAAAGAAAGCGUAAUAGCUCACUGGUCGAGUCGGCCUGCGCGGAAGAUGUAACGGGGCUAAACCAUGCACCGAAGCUGCGGCAGCGACGCUGAUGCGUUGUUGGGUAGGGGAGCGUUCUGUAAGCCUGUGAAGGUGUGCUGUGAGGCAUGCUGGAGGUAUCAGAAGUGCGAAUGCUGACAUAAGUAACGAUAAAGCGGGUGAAAAGCCCGCUCGCCGGAAGACCAAGGGUUCCUGUCCAACGUUAAUCGGGGCAGGGUGAGUCGACCCCUAAGGCGAGGCCGAAAGGCGUAGUCGAUGGGAAACAGGUUAAUAUUCCUGUACUUGGUGUUACUGCGAAGGGGGGACGGAGAAGGCUAUGUUGGCCGGGCGACGGUUGUCCCGGUUUAAGCGUGUAGGCUGGUUUUCCAGGCAAAUCCGGAAAACUAAGGCUGAGGCGUGAUGACGAGGCACUACGGUGCUGAAGCAACAAAUGCCCUGCUUCCAGGAAAAGCCUCUAAGCAUCAGGUAACAUCAAAUCGUACCCCAAACCGACACAGGUGGUCAGGUAGAGAAUACCAAGGCGCUUGAGAGAACUCGGGUGAAGGAACUAGGCAAAAUGGUGCCGUAACUUCGGGAGAAGGCACGCUGAUAUGUAGGUGAAGUCCCUCGCGGAUGGAGCUGAAAUCAGUCGAAGAUACCAGCUGGCUGCAACUGUUUAUUAAAAACACAGCACUGUGCAAACACGAAAGUGGACGUAUACGGUGUGACGCCUGCCCGGUGCCGGAAGGUUAAUUGAUGGGGUCAGCGCAAGCGAAGCUCUUGAUCGAAGCCCCGGUAAACGGCGGCCGUAACUAUAACGGUCCUAAGGUAGCGAAAUUCCUUGUCGGGUAAGUUCCGACCUGCACGAAUGGCGUAAUGAUGGCCAGGCUGUCUCCACCCGAGACUCAGUGAAAUUGAACUCGCUGUGAAGAUGCAGUGUACCCGCGGCAAGACGGAAAGACCCCGUGAACCUUUACUAUAGCUUGACACUGAACAUUGAGCCUUGAUGUGUAGGAUAGGUGGGAGGCUUUGAAGUGUGGACGCCAGUCUGCAUGGAGCCGACCUUGAAAUACCACCCUUUAAUGUUUGAUGUUCUAACGUUGACCCGUAAUCCGGGUUGCGGACAGUGUCUGGUGGGUAGUUUGACUGGGGCGGUCUCCUCCUAAAGAGUAACGGAGGAGCACGAAGGUUGGCUAAUCCUGGUCGGACAUCAGGAGGUUAGUGCAAUGGCAUAAGCCAGCUUGACUGCGAGCGUGACGGCGCGAGCAGGUGCGAAAGCAGGUCAUAGUGAUCCGGUGGUUCUGAAUGGAAGGGCCAUCGCUCAACGGAUAAAAGGUACUCCGGGGAUAACAGGCUGAUACCGCCCAAGAGUUCAUAUCGACGGCGGUGUUUGGCACCUCGAUGUCGGCUCAUCACAUCCUGGGGCUGAAGUAGGUCCCAAGGGUAUGGCUGUUCGCCAUUUAAAGUGGUACGCGAGCUGGGUUUAGAACGUCGUGAGACAGUUCGGUCCCUAUCUGCCGUGGGCGCUGGAGAACUGAGGGGGGCUGCUCCUAGUACGAGAGGACCGGAGUGGACGCAUCACUGGUGUUCGGGUUGUCAUGCCAAUGGCACUGCCCGGUAGCUAAAUGCGGAAGAGAUAAGUGCUGAAAGCAUCUAAGCACGAAACUUGCCCCGAGAUGAGUUCUCCCUGACUCCUUGAGAGUCCUGAAGGAACGUUGAAGACGACGACGUUGAUAGGCCGGAUGUGUAAGCGCAGCGAUGCGUUGAGCUAACCGGUACUAAUGAACCGUGAGGCUUAACCUU
rnacentral:rRNA from 1 species